GCGAGAGGAGGUGUGGUCAGUUGAGAAGAGCAGUGCCCAGAGAGAGUGUCGGGCCAGAUUUUAGGGUCGUAGCCCGGAGCAGGCGGCAGGACUGAGCUGGGCAAGCUGGGCGGUACCAGGAGAUCCGGACAUCCAGAAGGGAAGGUUCCAGACUAGGCCCAAACCUACAAGCUCUGCUCCCUCUGCGUGAACUUUGUCUCAGUGAGCAAGAACUAGAUCACAUACCCAUCUGCCCCCGCUCUGCCGCAACUGUUUCUGUGGUCCUGACUAAAGGGCUCUUUUCUGGAGGCAGUUCAGUGCCUAGUGUGUCUCUCAGGAAACAUGUAAUAAAUAAUGCCAGCCA
rnacentral:lncRNA from 1 species